GUGCUCGCUCCGGCAGCGCAUGUACUAAACUUGGAACAACAGAAGAUGAGCAUGGCCCCUGCGCAAGGAUGACAUGCAAAUUCCUGAAGCGUGGCAUAUUUUU